UACCCUGGAAUUAAGGAAAUGGAUUAGCAAAGCCCUAACUAGUUAAUUGAGUAUUAUUGUAGAAUUAUAUUAUAUUAUAAUUUAUUAUAUGCGAAUUAAUAUGAGAAAUGACAUGUUAAGACCCCGUUGGUGAGUUAGGGGUAUUUUAGUAAUUUUGACCCGAGAAGGGUAAAACUGUGAAUUUAAUUUAUUUAUGUGCUUAUGAACUAUAUUAUUAUAUAGUAUAUCUGGUGUGUCCUUUUUCAUGUGUGUUCUGACAAGUUGGCGCGGUAUAGUCACAAUCGGGUAUUUCGGGCCGAACCGGGUUCGGGGCCGAAAUAUAAUUUUGGGAUAAAUUAUUGGCAUUUUAUUUAUGUGUGAAUAAUCUGAAAUUAUUUAAAUAUGUGUUAUAGAUGAAAUGAAUUCAAUGCCCUUGAUUGUUUGAGUAUGUGAGAAAUGGCCCUAGGGGCAAAAUGGUAAAUAUGUAUUUUGGAUUUAUUUUCAACUAAAGGCAUUCUUUGUAAAAAAAUGAAAUUCAUUUCUGCAUUUACCUUAACUCUAAAACAGCCCCCUUCCCCCCCUCUCUCUCUCUCUCUCUCUCUCUCUCUCUCUCUCUCUCUCUCUCUCUCUCUCUCUCUCUCUCUCUCUCUCUCUUUGUAUUUGGUUGAAAAAUUGGUGAUUUGUUUGGUAUUCAAGCUUGAAAUUGAAGAAUUGUUUGAGUUGUGGCUUGAUCAUUGCAUUGAAGCUUGAGGAAAGGGUAAAUCUAUCUCUGAUCAGCCAUGAGUAUGGGAGUUGGGCGAUGUAUGUACAUGUUCGGGCCACACUAGACCAAGCGGGUUGGGGUCUACCAGCGUUGAAACUUUUGUAACUCUAUUUUUGCCGCUUAGGUCGGCUAAGGAGAAAAGACUUGUAAUAUUUUGUAAAAUAAUUUUUUUGGGAUCCCGAAACAUGUAACUUUUGUUUGUAAGGUGAAAAUUAUUACAAGUUUAUUUUCAUUC